CCCAAGACCAGAAGUCUUCGGCCGAAAUUCGGGGUGCAUUUCGGUAGCACGCGGUGAUGCACAGAAAAAAGUUUGGUCCCGAUUUCAGUUCAGACAGUUUUCGGACAGUUUUUCGUGCCGUGUGGUUCACCCUUGAGAAGUAAGCUUGAACAUUGAGCUUGUUUCAAGUGCACAUGAUAGGUGCUGUAAGACAUUUGACUUCACACGCGUUCGUGAGAUGUGUAGAUCCCUUGUGGUGCUCUCCAUGGAAGUGCAUUGAAAUGUGAUGAGGAUUUGCUGCAAAAAAUUGGAAUGUUCUAGUAACAGUGUGUUCACACAACUGACAUCUCCAUGGGAUAUUCAAAUGGAAGAAAUGGCGAACUGCUACUUGAUGGAAGCUACGCCGAGUCUUGCGUUGAGCAGUCACACAUCAAAAUAUCGAGAGUGGUGUAUUCUGCGCAUAGCAGAUACCGUCAGCCCAGUCGUAUAAUACAAGAUACCUCAAACUGAGCCGCAGGUAAGGUUUCGCUGUACUCCACCCUAACCGUCAUGAAGGUCAAGGGCUAACUGUGUAAUGUAAUUGUAGUUAUUAUUCAGAAUACAGGGGUGGAAGUGCUGCACCAUUCUGCGCCCCGCUGCUUUUCAUGCGCCAACUUGAGCCGCAACAUCAAAGUUGCGCCAAAUUACCCCUGAUGUCCGUACCACUCUGGUAACACUGCCAAAAGGGAGCCAUGAGCAUCCAUAUCCGCCCCACGAUCAACCCGUCCACGAAGCCAUCUUCAUAUCCAACAAAAUCCAAAGCCAGCCAAUCCGAGAGAAUUUGGUUUAUUCUCAGGUCGGUUAGGCCGCCCGUAGGCUUAUUUCUGAUGGGGAGCGCGGCAGCAGCACUUACCGCUUUUGCGGUUCUUUUUGCCUUUGUCGUCUUUCAGGUGGUGCCGGCAUACUGUGCAACGAAUCACGGGACGAGGAUCCAUGUACAUUUGAGAAAGAAACACAAAAUUCAACGAUGACAUCUUCAAACGGAACGACUAAAAUAGUAACCUCAUUUCGUUGUGGUGCCAACCUAGUGUAAAAUAAACCGAUGCUUACUGCACUUUAUGCAGCGUGGCCAUAUCGUGCACGCUCGUGGUUCGGCUGUCACGCGUCAUGCAGCAUCAAAGAAACACAGACACGAGAGUGGGGUUCUUCAAGUGCCGAAGCAAGGACCUGAACGCUUUUGAGGCCAGAGCUAACGCACAGGAAAGUAUACGUUAAAAGUAGACACUAUUUUCGUACUUUAGGUGAUUGCGAACUCCGCUCCUUACACGUGAGGAGAUGUCGCAACUGAGAUUUUCCCGACCAUGUUUCCCCAUUCAGUGCGGAAGGAAGAAACUUUCGUACAUUGUUUCCCAAACUACUACAAAGCAUACAAAGAAAGCCUGGAACGAGAAGAAAGAGAAACAGAACAGAGAACGCGAACUGCUGAGGCUGCCCAAAAUGUCCAUUGAAUGUCCAGUCACUGGUCAGCCAAGGUGGCAAGUCAGGUGGUGAUGGUGGAGAGAGCAAGCGUUCUACUGAAGGACGCAAACGCAAAACUUCCAAAGUUUCUCCAGCGCAUUCAAGAGACUGAGAAUAACCCGCGGAACAAGAAAAGGGGGGGAUCAGACGAAUGUUAUACUCUCAGCGCUGGACGAGGAACAUUAAACUAUGGAUAACUGUACCAAUGUAAGAAGGGAGUUGCCUCAGGACAGAAGCCGCCGAUAUUUCGAACAGAGACUGUUCUUCUUCUGGGCGCCCAGAGGAAGAACAGUCUGUGUUUGAAAUAUCGGCGGCUUCUGUCCUGAGGCAACUCCCUUCCUCCAUCUCUACCGGUUCGCUGGAUUUCUACCCAUCUAUGUACCAAUGUAAGCACUGCACAUGGCACUCCUCAGGCAACACUGAAAGUACAACGUUUGUGUGAUUGUGUAUGUGUAUUGCAUUCAGGCAGUGCUGGAAUUUUAUUCUGUACUAGUUUUCACCAGGUGUGUGGGCACGUUUCAAUUAAUCAAGCCAGCUGGUCAACAAACUAGGUACUAGUUCUCACCAGUGUCUCUGUCAAACACACUGUCUCUUCUAUCGAUCACCAGUGUGUGUGUACACUUUAAAUAGUCAUGCUAGCUAGUCUAAAAUUUUGUACAUUGAUAUUUUUAUGUUUACAUUAACAAAACUGUUAGGUUCUCAUGAUUCAUGGUAUAUCUGGUAGUAUAUGACAAUGUGCGGAUCUCAAAUCUUCAAGGAACCAAUCUGCGUACCAUACGUUUCUGCUCCAAAUUAUGGCAUAUGUGCUCCAAAAUGUCAUUUUUACUGCUCCAUAUCUGCUCCAGAAGCAGAUUUUUGCUGCUUCAAUUGUAGCUCCAAAAGUCCUGACACCACUUCCACCCCUGAGAAUACCAUCAUGAGGCUUUCAUUGGUCAUGCAGUUUUUUUCCUUCACAGAUAUGGAACUGCUUAUGAAACAUAGUACGAUAGACACAGCACUGAAGCCCCAUUUACAUAUGUCAAUUAAACAAUGGCAGUUCAUGUUAGUGCCACUGCUAGUGCCUUUUCUUCAAUCGCCAUUCUGUAGUGAUUAUGAAAAUGUUGGUUCCUGUUGAUCAAUAUAUUUCUCAAUUUUCCCACACCAAUUGUCCCACCAGGUUUAUAUGGUGUGCUUAAACUUGGGUUUAAUGCAAGUGAAGUCCUAGAAGCUUUGUUAUUUUCCAUUUUUCGUUGUAUAAAGAAUAUUAUGAGGCAGUGCAAAGCAAUGCAAACAGCAUUUGGUAGUGCUAUGUGCUCUUGUUAAAGACGUUAAACUAUGCAUAGUUCUGCAUUUGUACAUAUCAAAUAAUAUUCUACCGCAAGUAAGUAAGGUAUAUAAUACUGUAAGUACAGUCAGCUGUUGUGGCUGACUCUACACCAGUUGUUUAGUUGUGUGGUGGGUCCAUUAUGUAUCCGUGGACAUUGCAUUGUGAACAUGAACAGUACAUUAAUGAACAGUAAUUUGUUUCGCUGUAUACUUGACAUAUUCUGAUAUUACACUCAGUGUUUAUAAAUGCACAAGAUAUGUGGCUACCACAUUCAGUAAGGCAGGGUAAAGCUGUGCACAUGCAACUGGGGUAGCAGAAUUGUGGUUAAGCGGUCUGGGAGAAACUACACUGUGUUGUCAUCAUGAAGCUCUUUCCUACGUAUGUCCUGUAGUAUCCCGAGUAGCACACCCGACCGGACCGAUACCGGCGGAGGGUUUGGGAUCCACCGGGGUACGGCACUGGGGAGUCAUCCAUUUUGCAACAUCGCACCAGUGCUGGCCCGGUACUGGCCAUGGGUACCCAUGCCCCACAGUUCCCCGACGUGAUUUUGAUGCAGAUAGCUCGCGCACUCUGCCGCUCGGGAUACUAGGUUUUUUUGGGUGAUUGGGUGAUGAUUUUGGGUAACUAGAGUCACCACAUUAAGAAAUAAAUACAUCCAAGGCCUUUAGAAAUGCUUGGAACAGUUUAUUCCGGUACUUUUACAAAUAUUUGCUUCUUUAAAAAAUAAAAAGCAGAUGUUC